rnacentral:rRNA from 1 species
CGGCAGGCCUAACACAUGCAAGUCGAGCGGCAGCGGGAAAGUAGCUUGCUACUUUUGCCGGCGAGCGGCGGACGGGUGAGUAAUGCCUGGGGAUCUGCCCAGUCGAGGGGGAUAACUACUGGAAACGGUAGCUAAUACCGCAUACGCCCUACGGGGGAAAGCAGGGGACCUUCGGGCCUUGCGCGAUUGGAUGAACCCAGGUGGGAUUAGCUAGUUGGUGAGGUAAUGGCUCACCAAGGCGACGAUCCCUAGCUGGUCUGAGAGGAUGAUCAGCCACACUGGAACUGAGACACGGUCCAGACUCCUACGGGAGGCAGCAGUGGGGAAUAUUGCACAAUGGGGGAAACCCUGAUGCAGCCAUGCCGCGUGUGUGAAGAAGGCCUUCGGGUUGUAAAGCACUUUCAGCGAGGAGGAAAGGUUGGUAGCUAAUAACUGCCAGCUGUGACGUUACUCGCAGAAGAAGCACCGGCUAACUCCGUG